rnacentral:rRNA from 1 species
UACGUAGGUGACCAGCGUUGUCCGGAUUUACUGGGCGUAAAGAGCGCGCAGGCGGUCGUUCAAGUCGAGUGUGAAAGCCCCCGGCUCAACUGGGGAGGGUCACUCGAUACUGAUCGACUUGAAGGCAGGAGAGGGAAGCGGAAUUCCCGGUGUAGUGGUGAAAUGCGUAGAUAUCGGGAGGAACACCAGUGGCGAAGGCGGCUCACUGGACCAUAACUGACGCUGAGGCGCGAAAGCUAGGGGAGCAAACAGG